rnacentral:rRNA from 1 species
AGAGUUUGAUCCUGGCUCAGGAUGAACGCUAGCUACAGGCUUAACACAUGCAAGUCGAGGGGAAACGGCAUUUAGUGCUUGCACUGAAUGGACGUCGACCGGCGCACGGGUGAGUAACGCGUAUCCAACCUUCCCAUUACUGUGGGAUAACCUGCCGAAAGGCAGACUAAUACCGCAAAGUCUUCGAUGACGGCAUCAGAUUUGAAGUAAAGAUUUAUCGGUAAUGGAUGGGGAUGCGUCUGAUUAGCUUGUUGGCGGGGUAACGGCCCACCAAGGCGACGAUCAGUAGGGGUUCUGAGAGGAAGGUCCCCCACAUUGGAACUGAGACACGGUCCAAACUCCUACGGGAGGCAGCAGAGAGGAAUAUUGGUCAAUGGACGUAAGUCUGAACCAGCCAAGUAGCGUGCAGGAUGACGGCCCUAUGGGUUGUAAACUGCUUUUGUAUGGGGAUAAAGUCAGUCACGUGUGAUUGUUUGCAGGUACCAUACGAAUAAGGACCGGCUAAUUCCGUGCCAGCAGCCGCGGUAAUACGGAAGGUCCAGGCGUUAUCCGGAUUUAUUGGGUUUAAAGGGAGCGUAGGCUGGAUAUUAAGUGUGUUGUGAAAUGUAGACGCUCAACGUCUGACUUGCAGCGCAUACUGGUUUCCUUGAGUACGCACAACGUUGGCGGAAUUCGUCGUGUAGCGGUGAAAUGCUUAGAUAUGACGAAGAACUCCGAUUGCGAAGGCAGCUGACGGGAGCGCAACUGACGCUUAAGCUCGAAGGUGCGGGUAUCAAACAGGAUUAGAUACCCUGGUAGUCCGCACAGUAAACGAUGGAUGCCCGCUGUUGGUACCUGGUAUCAGCGGCU